AGUCGAGCGAGCUUGCCUAGAUGACUUUAGUGCUUGCACUAAAUGAAACUAGAUACAAGCGAGCGGCGGACGGGUGAGUAACACGUGGGUAACCUGCCCAAGAGACUGGGAUAACACCUGGAAACAGAUGCUAAUACCGGAUAACAACACUAGACGCAUGUCUAGAGUUUGAAAGAUGGUUCUGCUAUCACUCUUGGAUGGACCUGCGGUGCAUUAGCUAGUUGGUAAGGUAACGGCUUACCAAGGCAAUGAUGCAUAGCCGAGUUGAGAGACUGAUCGGCCACAUUGGGACUGAGACACGGCCCAAACUCCUACGGGAGGCAGCAGUAGGGAAUCUUCCACAAUGGACGAAAGUCUGAUGGAGCAACGCCGCGUGAGUGAAGAAGGGUUUCGG
rnacentral:rRNA from 1 species